UACCAGCACCCCGAGUGGUCGGGACGAUUAUUGGGCCUAAAGCAUCCGUAGCCGGUCUUGCAAGUCUUCCGUUAAAUCCAGCUGCUUAACAGAUGGGCUGCGGAAGAUACUACAAGACUAGGAGGUGGGAGAGGCAAGCGGUACUCAGUGGGUAGGGGUAAAAUCCGUUGAUCCAUUGAAGACCACCAGUGGCGAAGGCGGCUUGCCAGAACGCACUCGACGGUGAGGGAUGAAAGCUGGGGGAGCAAACCGG
rnacentral:rRNA from 1 species